CCGAUCUCAGAAGACCACCUGGCUCAGUAUCACAAAGCACCCUGAUUUCUCCCUCAUCUUGAGAUGUCAGGAUCCCUCAGAAAACUUCGUAGAGGUGCCCUAGUGGUGGCAUGCACCAAGAUCAGAUUGUUCUACCUGAGUUAAAGAUGUUCCUCCUGUUGCCUUUUGUGAAGCAGGAGAGAAUCAGAGCACCAGUGGAACAACAGCAGUGAGAAGCUCAUCAGCUUCACGAACUGACCACAGACCAAUCAGUGAAUUCCUGUCCUGCUUUCACUUUGCUUUCCGUGCUAUGUGGAAAUAAGAGCUCUCCUCAUGGGUCCAGUGUGAGGAACAGAUAGCAAGCACUGAUUGGGUGGAACCAGCCAAAGGUCAUUAUCUGAUAAAGUGGAUGGAAGUUCCAAAGAAGAGGACAGGGACUGUAAACUCUGGGCUAUUCUUUAUUCUGCAACAUUGAUUAAAAGUUGCUGUGACAGGCUCUGCCCUAGGGCUCCAGGAUACAGUGAAUAACACAGAUGUGGUGCCUACCCUCAUGAAGGUUACCUUCCAUUCAGGGAAGAC
rnacentral:lncRNA from 1 species